UUGACUCGCUGAAUUAGUGAUUGGCGGGUUGUAUCUUUAAACUCUUAUUUAUUGGAGAAAAUUAUGUCACUAAGUACACAAGAAACGGCAACAAUCCUUGCUGAGUAUGCAGUUAAAGAA
rfam:Paraglaciecola psychrophila 170 chromosome, complete genome.